rnacentral:rRNA from 1 species
AGUUAGUGGCGGACGGGUGAGUAACGCGUGGGUAACCUGCCUUGUACUGGGGGACAACAGUUGGAAACGACUGCUAAUACCGCAUAAGCGCACAGCUUCGCAUGAAGCAGUGUGAAAAACUCCGGUGGUACAAGAUGGACCCGCGUCUGAUUAGCUGGUUGGUGAGGUAACGGCCCACCAAGGCGACGAUCAGUAGCCGGCCUGAGAGGGUGAACGGCCACAUUGGGACUGAGACACGGCCCAAACUCCUACGGGAGGCAGCAGUGGGGAAUAUUGCACAAUGGGGGAAACCCUGAUGCAGCAACGCCGCGUGAGUGAAGAAGUAUUUCGGUAUGUAAAGCUCUAUCAGCAGGAAAGAAAAUGACGGUACCUGACUAAGAAGCCCCGGCUAACUACGUGCCAGCAGCCGCGGUAAUACGUAGGGGGCAAGCGUUAUCCGGAUUUACUGGGUGUAAAGGGAGCGUAGACGGUUUUGCAAGUCUGAAGUGAAAGCCCGGGGCUUAACCCCGGGACUGCUUUGGAAACUGUAGAACUAGAGUGCAGGAGAGGUAAGUGGAAUUCCUAGUGUAGCGGUGAAAUGCGUAGAUAUUAGGAGGAACACCAGUGGCGAAGGCGGCUUACUGGACUGUAACUGACGUUGAGGCU